rnacentral:rRNA from 1 species
AACGCUAGCUACAGGCUUAACACAUGCAAGUCGCGGGGUAACGAGAGGGAAGCUUGCUUUCCUUGUCGACGACCGGCGCACGGGUGAGUAACGCGUAUCCAACCUGCCCAUUACCACGGGAUACCCCGUCGAAAGGCGGCCUAAUACCGUAUGCAGUCGUCAGAUGACAUCAGAGGACGACGAAAGGAUUGGCGGUAAUGGAUGGGGAUGCGUCUGAUUAGGUAGUUGGAGGGGUAACGGCCCACCAAGCCAUCGAUCAGUAGGGGUUCUGAGAGGAAGGUCCCCCACAUUGGAACUGAGACACGGUCCAAACUCCUACGGGAGGCAGCAGUGAGGAAUAUUGGUCAAUGGGCGCAAGCCUGAACCAGCCAAGUAGCGUGCAGGAUGACGGCCCUAUGGGUUGUAAACUGCUUUUAUACAGGAAUAAAGUUAGCCACGUGUGGUUAUUUGUAGGUACUGUAUGAAUAAGGACCGGCUAAUUCCGUGCCAGCAGCCGCGGUAAUACGGAAGGUCCAGGCGUUAUCCGGAUUUAUUGGGUUUAAAGGGAGCGUAGGCCGUCUGUUAAGCGUGUUGUGAAAUGUAGAUGCUCAACAUCUGAAUUGCAGCGCGAACUGGCAUGCUUGAGUACGCACGAGGUAGGCGGAAUUUGUGGUGUAGCGGUGAAAUGCUUAGAUAUCACGAAGAACUCCGAUUG